GCUCAUAUGGUGUAGAACACGCUAUAAUUUCAUUAUAGAAAUGAUAUUUUCUAUGAGUU
rnacentral:tRNA from 1 species